rnacentral:rRNA from 1 species
AUACAUGCAGUCGAGCGAACAGAGAAGGAGCUUGCUCCUUCGACGUUAGCGGCGGACGGGUGAGUAACACGUGGGCAACCUACCUUAUAGUUUGGGAUAACUCCGGGAAACCGGGGCUAAUACCGAAUAAUCUGUUUCACCUCAUGGUGAAACACUGAAAGACGGUUUCGGCUGUCGCUAUAGGAUGGGCCCGCGGCGCAUUAGCUAGUUGGUGAGGUAACGGCUCACCAAGGCGACGAUGCGUAGCCGACCUGAGAGGGUGAUCGGCCACACUGGGACUGAGACACGGCCCAGACUCCUACGGGAGGCAGCAGUAGGGAAUCUUCCACAAUGGGCGAAAGCCUGAUGGAGCAACGCCGCGUGAGUGAAGAAGGAUUUCGGUUCGUAAAACUCUGUUGUAAGGGAAGAACAAGUACAGUAGUAACUGGCUGUACCUUGACGGUACCUUAUUAGAAAGCCACGGCUAACUACGUGCCAGCAGCCGCGGUAAUACGUAGGUGGCAAGCGUUGUCCGGAAUUAUUGGGCGUAAAGCGCGCGCAGGUGGUUUCUUAAGUCUGAUGUGAAAGCCCACGGCUCAACCGUGGAGGGUCAUUGGAAACUGGGAGACUUGAGUGCAGAAGAGGAUAGUGGAAUUCCAAGUGUAG